rnacentral:rRNA from 1 species
CUAAUACAUGCAAGUCGAGCGGACCGACGGGAGCUUGCUCCCUUAGGUCAGCGGCGGACGGGUGAGUAACACGUGGGUAACCUGCCUGUAAGACUGGGAUAACUCCGGGAAACCGGGGCUAAUACCGGAUGCUUGAUUGAACCGCAUGGUUCAAUCAUAAAAGGUGGCUUUCAGCUACCACUUACAGAUGGACCCGCGGCGCAUUAGCUAGUUGGUGAGGUAACGGCUCACCAAGGCGACGAUGCGUAGCCGACCUGAGAGGGUGAUCGGCCACACUGGGACUGAGACACGGCCCAGACUCCUACGGGAGGCAGCAGUAGGGAAUCUUCCGCAAUGGACGAAAGUCUGACGGAGCAACGCCGCGUGAGUGAUGAAGGUUUUCGGAUCGUAAAACUCUGUUGUUAGGGAAGAACAAGUACCGUUCGAAUAGGGCGGCACCUUGACGGUACCUAACCAGAAAGCCACGGCUAACUACGUGCCAGCAGCCGCGGUAAUACGUAGGUGGCAAGCGUUGUCCGGAAUUAUUGGGCGUAAAGCGCGCGCAGGCGGUUUCUUAAGUCUGAUGUGAAGGCCCCCGGCUCAACCGGGGAGGGUCAUUGGAAACUGGGGAACUUGAGUGCAGAAGAGGAGAGUGGAAUUCCACGUGUAGCGGUGAAAUGCGUAGAGAUGUGGAGGAACACCAGUGGC